rnacentral:rRNA from 1 species
UGGGGAAUAUUGGACAAUGGGCGAAAGCCUGAUCCAGCAAUGCCGCGUGAGUGAAGAAGGCCUUAGGGUUGUAAAGCUCUUUCAGAUGGGAAGAUAAUGACGGUACCAUCAGAAGAAGCCCCGGCUAACUCCGUGCCAGCAGCCGCGGUAAUACGGAGGGGGCUAGCGUUAUUCGGAAUUACUGGGCGUAAAGCGCGCGUAGGCGGUUUUCCAAGUUGGAGGUGAAAUCCCGGGGCUUAACUCCGGAACUGCCUUCAAAACUGGAUGACUAGAGGUCGAGAGAGGUAAGGGGAAUUCCUAGUGUAGAGGUGAAAUUCGUAGAUAUUAGGAAGAACACCAGUGGCGAAGGCGCCUUACUGGCUCGAUCCUGACGCUGAGGUGCGAAAGUGUGGGGAGCAAACA